AUGUCACUAACCUUGGGAAUGUCUUUUAAAUGUGUCCCUUGGUUUGGGUUCUCUUCUUGUCUGUCUCUGCGUUCGCCUGUGGAUCUGCGUUUCGGGCUGUAUGUCUCUCUGUGUAUCUCCACACCUGUCUCCCCGUCUGCUGCGAUUGUUCUCGGCCACUCUGCCAAUCUCUGUCUCUACGCCUCUGUCAUCGCGUCUCUUUCUGUCUCUGUCUGCUGUUGUGGCUUUCAACCAUCUCCAUCUGUUGUGGUGGCUUCUGUUUCCCUGUCGUGGUGUCCCCCUGCACCCGGACCAGGCCAUCCGCCUGAGAGUGCACCCCCUGUAUCUGAUGAUCCCCGGCACGGUCGGCUGCUCCUAUGCCUUCAUGCUCCCCGUCUCGACGCCCCCCAACUCCAUUGCCUUCGCCUCUGGACACUUGCUGGUCAAAGACAUGGUGCGGACAGGCCUCCUGAUGAACUUGUUGGGUGUCCUGCUGCUCAGCCUGGCCAUGAAUACUUGGGCACAGACCAUCUUCCAGCUGGGCACCUUCCCGGACUGGGCCGACAUCCACUCAGCCAACAUCACAGCACUGCCAUCUGCCUUGGCCAACGACACAUUUCGGACCCUUUGAGCCCCCCUCCGGGACCCUCUCUGGGCUGGGCCCUCCCAGAAGGCUUCUGCCAUCACCUGCUGCUAGGACUCUACAGGAUGAUGGAGCAGUUCUUUUCUGUGAUCCAGUAUGCAGAAAGCAAGGGUGACCUCCAGUGGUCCACUUGGGCCCACAGGCUCAUUAUCUAGGACACCCUCUCCUUCUCUUUCGUGGAGGUCAGGGCCCAGAUAUCUCCCAGAUCUGCUGCCAGAGAAACAAGCUCCUUUAGCUCUGAGCUGUUCUAUGGCUAGGGUGCAAGGGAGCCCUAUUUCAGCAGCAGGAAGCACGUCUGGAACGGCAUUUGUCUUACACAGCUGGAAUGGGAGGGGCCAUUGAUUCCCACGGACACCGCUAACGUCCCCCAGGGCCUACUUUAGGUUACACUCUGGAGAGACCGUCUUGCCUUUAGAUGUCGCCUUCCUCAGAGAGGCUUCUGGGGCUGCACUGUCCCAGCUGUUCACAGCCACAGCAUGUCCUGCCCAGUCUGUGCCCGUUGUUUGAAUCUGACCCCUGCCGGUACACCGCAGCCGCCACAGCCGGGGAUGCUUUUGGUCCCUGGAGACAGCGGAGGGACAGGUGUCCUCCUGAGGUCGAGGAGGCUGUGCGGAUCCUCCUCGCUGCACUUCCGGGUGCCUGAGCACACCAGGGGAGUUCUAGAAACCCUGACAUCUCUACCCACGCUUUUUAGGAUGUUCCUCUUUAAUCUGAUUCAGUUUGACUGUCAUUCUGGGGUCAGGCCGAGCCCUGGCCCUACUGUCCUUCCAACGAGGACUCUCCGAUGUGUAGCCAGCGGGGGACUUUGUGGCUGCCAGCUACUGCUUAUUGCGACAGCUGGUCCUCCCCUCCCUGCCCAUACCCCGAGGGGUAAGCAUGUUUCAUUAGCAAAGGCCACAUUUUUCAGGAAUGAAAAAAAAAAAAAAAAGNGGGGGCUCAUAAAAGGCCAGGGUAAAAUUUCUCAGGCAGGCAAAACAUCGUAACCUCUUCUACAGAGGGGGUCAACCGAGACUUCCCCUGAGCCAGUGGCUGGUGGGGGCUGUCCUAGAUCUGACCCCUCCUUGUUUCCAGCAGAAGCAUCUAGGCAUCCCCAGUGAACAGCACAGUGUUAGGCCCAGCGGGCGCUCAGGAAGUGGAAUGAGUGGCCCACAUUAGCCUGGCACUGGACAAGGUGCCCAUGGGGGGUCCGGAAGCCUCGUGUCUCCCCUUCCUACACAUCUGAGGGAUGAUGUCCCCCGAGCAGUGUGGGCUGGGACGGCAGCACCCAGAGACUGAACUUGUCCUCCGUACGGCAUGAGUGAGUCACGGCUGUUUCCCUGGGAGCAGCAGGGAGGAGAGAGGAAAGGCCCCCACGUUGGGGGAUGGUCUCCACCUCUUCCCGCAUGAGAACUUCAGUAUCCAGUCACGUCUACAGCCCGUGGGAUUUGGGAGCUGCACUCCUGGAGAGCAGGGGACCAGAGAAGUCCAUUCACGGAGAAACCCAUGGGACCUGUAACCAGAUGAAUCGUGAUUUCAAAUACUUCUGAUUGAAAAUGCUAUAAAAUAAAGAGCAUUAAUCAACACUGGGCCUACA
ensembl:lncRNA